UUAUUUGGAUCCAUAAGCAACUACUUGACUGUGCCACAUCAAAACCCUACCCAAUCCCAUGUGAGAUACAUCUUAGUAAACUUGAAAUCUUCCAGUAUUGUCGAGGAGGAUCAACACUGAAGCAAAGGUGAGACGAUACUUCAACUCAGUGAAACUUUCAUCACAUUCAUAAUCCCAUAUAAAAGAUAUACCCUUCCUAGUGAGAUGGGUCAACAAAGCUGCAAUCUU
rnacentral:lncRNA from 1 species